GUACACGCUGUGACUAGCAUAUCAAUAAGCGGAGGAAAAGAAACUAACAAGGAUUCCCCUAGUAACGGCGAGUGAAGCGGGAAGAGCUCAAAUUUGAAAUCUUAAAGGGUUUCCCUUUACGAAUUGUAGUUUAAAGAAGUGUUUUCUGUUGAGGUUUUGGUAAAAGUUCUUUGGAAUAGGACAUCAUAGAGGGUGAGAAUCCCGUAUUUGACCCUUACUUUCAACUUUGUGAUACACUUUCAAAGAGUCGGAUUGUUUGGGAAUGCAGUCCAAAAUGGGUGGUAAAUUUCAUCUAAAGCUAAAUAUUGGCGAGAGACCGAUAGCGAACAAGUACCGUGAGGGAAAGAUGAAAAGAACUUUGAAAAGAGAGUUAAACAGUACGUGAAAUUGUCAAAAGGGAAGCGUUUGACACCAGUGUUGUUUUUCUGAAAAUCAAUUAAAGAACUGUUUAUGCUAAGCUGUUUAGACUUUAUCAGCUAUCUGUUUAGUUUUGAGCUUUUCUUUAAUGCACUUUUCAGUUAACAAGUCAACAUCAAUUUCUUUCGCUGUAAAAAAGCUUGAGGAAGGUGGCUUGAGAUUCGUCCUUAAGUGUUUAUAGCCUCUUGCCUAUGCAGUCGGAGAGAUUGAGGUCUGCAGCGUAGAUCCUUCGGGGCUAAAUGCAUUUGUGCUAAGUUAUAGCAUUUUAUAGACAACUUGUUGACUAUGAUUUGUCUUGUAGCUUACUCGCUUAUGUUAUUUUACCUACGCUUAGGAUGUUGAUAUGCAUGACUGAUAU
rnacentral:rRNA from 1 species